ensembl:rRNA 5S_rRNA 5S ribosomal RNA
GUCUACGGCCAUAGCACCUUGAAAAUGUUUGAUCUCCUCUGAUCUUGUAAGCUAAGCAGGAGUGGGCCUAAUUAGUACUUGGAUGAGAGAGAAAGAGGUGAGAGA